GGAGGAAAGCAGGGGAUCGAAAGACCUUAUGCUUUUGGAGCGGCCGAUGUCUGAUUAGCUAGUUGGUAAGGUAAUGGCUUACCAAGGCAACGAUCAGUAGUUGGUCUGAGAGGACGACCAGCCACACUGGGACUGAGACACGGCCCAGACUCCUACGGGAGGCAGCAGUGGGGAAUUUUGGACAAUGGGCGCAAGCCUGAUCCAGCAAUGCCGCGUGAGUGAAGAAGGCCUUCGGGUUGUAAAGCUCUUUCAGUUGAGAAGAAAAGAUUGUGACUAAUAAUUGCAAUUCAUGACGGUAUCAACAGAAGAAGCACCGGCUAACUACGUGCCAGCAGCCGCGGUAAUACGUAGGGUGCGAGCGUUAAUCGGAAUUACUGGGCGUAAAGGGUGCGCAGGCGGUUCUGUAAGUCAGAUGUGAAAUCCCC
rnacentral:rRNA from 1 species